UCCUCUGAGUUCUGAAGGGAUGGCCCUGGCAGGUGGGGGGUAGAGGGGGGAGGUACUAGAUAUGAAGAAAGAUAUGCAUCUGGCAACAGGGUGGAAAGGCGACUUGGAAGAAGCCACUGCUCUGUAGAUACCUUUCUUAUCUUCUAAACAGUUUAUCGUGUCUGGAUCUCUGACUGUUGUGUCUGCCAAGAAGCAAACAAAAUCACUGGUAAGCUAACAACCUUCCCCUUCGUCAUUCAGGGAGAAAAUGAGCACUUAUAACACUCUGAGUUUCCCACGUGAAGCCCAGUCACCCUGGGGAUUCAUUAUUUUGUAGUACAUUUCAUCGUGUAACUGUCCCUUUGGCCCAAUGAAUCACGUGACCAUCCUAUGUCUAGACACAGACAGGCUGGAUCUCCCUGGAUUUUAGAAUUCUGAUCCCCAUAUCUCGUCACCAUAAGAAGAGUGAGUAAAGAUUUAUGUAGCUAUUCAAGCCUCGUUAUGGUAAUGGGGUGGGGUGACGUUUAAUAAAGAGAAAAACAUGGCUUAGGCUUGAGCAAGGCAGAUUUUUAUCUUUGGUGGAGGGAGGAGCUAAUAGGAGGAGAAAACAAGAGAUGCUGACAAAAACGCACGUAAUAUUUUUAUCCUAUCCACGGUAUGUGUUCAUGAAAAAUCAAUCUUAUCUAACUCUUCUUCUCGCAAUUGUGAUUUAUCAUUGAACCAAAUUGGCACUAUAAGGAUGAUGAAUGCCUGUAGAUCUCAUGGAUAAGUCAAUGAAAUCAGAAUUCUCUCCCCAACAUGUAGGGUCUAGAAACCCUUGGUCCUUAACUUAUAAGCUAGUUAUGUCUUUUUUUUUUUUUCCAGCUGAGGAAGAAUAUAGGUGCUAACACUCUUAGCACAUUAGUCUCGAUUGUUGGGAUCUGUAUUCUGUCAUAUAAUUUAACAAAAAAUUUCUGCUAUGAUUGCAAGAAGGAAACUCUCUGUUUGGGCAUCAAAUCAAUUGCAAUUGGACUUGUGAUUGUCCUAAUGAUCCUAACUUGUCUGCAAAUUUUAAUUUCACUCCCUCUCUCCAUGCUCGUCUAUAAUGUGGAUGACAGGAAUAUUCACUGGAUUUCUGUAUUUUUUUGCUGGAAAUCACCUUCUGAAAGUCCUUAUCAAGACUUGUUGCCUCAAACUUCAAUCUAUCAAGAACUUGAAUGUAAAUAAGAAACACCUUCAUGUUAUCCCACAGAUACUAGUAAACAAAUAUGGAGCUAUACUUCUGUAUUUUGGAUCCACAGUGAUAGCAAGAAGAUCAUACUGUGACCACUGAGUCAUAAAUAUACACGUGUGAGAAUACAACUGUGUGGUUCAAAGUCAUAAAGAGAGCAACUAGCAUCUAUAGCAUCAAGAAUUUGGUUGUCACUAUUCUUUUGGUUGGAUGUUAUCACAGGCUAGGUGUAUGCUCUGUAACAAAACUUAACUUUGAAAUAUUGGUGGCUUAACACAUCAGAAGUUCAUUUACUGCAUACUUUACAUGUUCAUUGUUAGUUGGCUGUUUAGACCCACACUGAUAUGGAUUCUACAAAAUAGAAUAAUAUCUCAAAAAGUUUUUUUUAUUUUGCCGAGGUAGGGAAAAAAAAAGUUAGAAGUUGGACCUCUGGCAAUGAGAUACUGUGGUCGAGAAGCAUGUGUCAUUCUGGCCACAGCUCAUUAAAUGGUGACCUUCCCAGUGCUGUGUGGGAGACAGGAAAUGUAGAGGGACAGAAAAUAUCAGUGAAUAAUAUUAUCUCCACCCCAGUGUUCUUCAUCAGCUAGGAUAUAUUUUCUGAGAUCACAAUUCAUUUUCCUUAUUCAUUCAUUACUACAUGUUAGAAAAAAAUCUCAAUUCCUCCAACUCUCAAAUGUAUGAACAUAAAGCUCCAUUCCUUUCUUAAAGCUCUGAAGUUUAACCUUUCUUUGAUGAAGCACAGUGAAGUCAAUGGAGACUUUCCUGGACCAGUCGUGAACAUUUUGCAUGAAGUCUUUGGUCCGUCAUUUUUACACUCUGUGACUUUGGAUGUGUUUCUUUCCUGACUAAAGAUCAGUUUUCUUAUCUUUCAAAUGGCCUCACUUGUGCUUACUCAGUUCCGAUUGGGAUAUACAUCAAGGAAAAGAGUAAAUAUACGCAAAAAAUACUUUUAAUCAUACAAAAUACUAUAGAUUAUACUAUUUCAUUGGUCUAGUGUUAGGUUAAUUAAUUAUAUUGCAUCAUUCAGAGUACAUUAGGCUUUUGUGAUGAUAUUUUACAUAUGUAAGCUUAUAUAUAAAAGCUUGGGUUGCUUCGUUGGCUCACUGACAAUUAAUCAAAGUGUUACCCAUUCCCCUAGAAUAUACAACCAGAAUGUUUCAAAGUCUAGUAAAAUUAAUAGUGUGUCCAUGAGAUCCAACAAUUCCAUUCCUGUUCUAUACAGUAUCAUAGCUACUAUACAUGUAUGGC